AUUUCUAUGAAUAGAACUUGGAGGAGUUGUGGAAGAUUUGCAGAUCCUGUAGUUUUGCAGUUGAAGCUGAUGACCAGCAGCUGACUACAGGUCUGGAGGCUGAGGAGCAAGUGGGAUGACUCUGAGCUGUCCAAGGGAGAUCUACAAGCAACUAGCAAGUUUUCCUUCUAUCUCUGCAAACUGCAUCCCUGAAAAUUAAUUACAGAAAUACACAGCAACUGAAUGUCAAGAUGAUGUCUAUAUUUCAUGUGCAUUAAGUGAAUGGGGAAAGUUUCUCUGUGGAUACCUCUUCUGCUUUUUAAUAAAUUCUUUCUUUUGCCUGAAGAGAAUUAGAAGCUGGCUUUUGACCUCCAUUAAUUUUUUUAAUUUAAUAGUUCUCUGCAUGCAUUAAUAAAUAUUAUUAACCAUACUUUGUACUGCAAUGUUUCCAUUUCCUCUUCCCCCGAUGCUUUCUCAUUUGCUGCA
rnacentral:lncRNA from 1 species